AGCCUGAUCCAGCCAUGCCGCGUGCAGGAAGACGGCCUUCUGGGUUGUAAACUGCUUUUGCCAGGGGAUAAAAAGUCCCUGCGGGGAAAAUUGAAGGUACCUGGUGAAUAAGCCACGGCUAACUACGUGCCAGCAGCCGCGGUAAUACGUAGGUGGCAAGCGUUGUCCGGAUUUAUUGGGUUUAAAGGGUGCGUAGGUUGUGUUGUAAGUCAGUGGUGAAAUCCGGCAGCUUAACUGUCGAUGUGCCAUUGAUACUGCAGCACUUGAGUACAGACGAGGUAGGCGGAAUUGACGGUGUAGCGGUGAAAUGCUUAGAUAUCGUCAAGAACACCGAUAGCGAAGGCAGCUUACUAGACUGUAACUGACACUGAUGCACGAAAGUGUGGGGAUCAAACAGGAUUAGAUACCCUGGUAGUCCACACUGUAAACGAUGAUUACUCGAUGUUGGCGAUACACAGCCAGCGUCUUAGCGAAAGCGAUAAGUAAUCCACCUGGGGAGUACGCCCGCAAGGGUAG
rnacentral:rRNA from 1 species